rnacentral:rRNA from 1 species
ACGCCGCGUGGAGGUUGAAGGCCGUAAGGUUGUAAACUCCUGUUAGAGGAGAAGAACAAGUACCGAUUGGAUCGGUAUUUGACUGUACCCUCAGAGAAAGCCCCGGCUAACUACGUGCCAGCAGCCGCGGUAAUA